UUGUUGCGUAAGGGAUUGCAGCGGCAUCCCCCGGCGGCGCUGGCGCGCCGCCGGGGGAUAUAGCGGAAAGCCCGGCCUGAA
rnacentral:misc_RNA from 1 species